UAGCCCGCUGUCCAGGGCACCUUUUUUUUUCUCCCUAUAUUUCGGUUGCUCGCGUCUCUUGGUGUGGUUUGCCCACGUCUGCAGCGCCAGACAGCAUUCCUUCUGCGUGGAACAUGCCAACCCUCGUCUGCUUUGACUUUGCAAAACUGCAUGAGACCGCCGGGCGCGGUGGCUCACGCCUGUAAUCCCAGCACUUCAAGAGGCCGAGGCAGACAGAUCACCUGAGAACUCCAGUUUAAUCAUGAAAAAAACAUCUGACAAACCCAAAUGGAGGAACACCCACAAAAUGCCUCGUCACUGCUUUUCAAAAGGGCCAAGGUCAUGAAAACCGAGAAAGAACUGAGAAACCAUCUCACAUCGGAGGAGGCACGAUGGCUAAAUGCACCCCGGUCGCCCUGGACUGGAUCCGGAAAUAGUAAAAGUGCAUUAGUGGAAAACUGGUGAAAUCCACCGAAAGUCUGCAGUUGGUGAUAGUAUUGAAUCAAUGUUAAUCUCAUAGUUUUGACAAAUGCACCACGGUUACGUACGCGAGACGUUAACAUUAGGGGGAACUGCGUGG
rnacentral:lncRNA from 1 species